UAGAGUAAGGGUUAGUCCGCAGGAGGACAGGAAUUUAGCAGGUGGAUACAGCUGUUAUCCUAUCUCGGCAACCACACUGUCUUUAGCUUCUGGAGGUUUAUAAGGAUGUCUCAUGAAGAUCAUACUCAAAUGAGAGGACUGAUUACACCAGGAUAAGAAUAUCGACCUUAUAGUGAAUAAUGGCGAAGAAACUGUAUCCUAACAUUGUUAUUUCAUUCCAUUAUGACCUUUGGCUCAAAAUGACUGUAGAUCAUAGAUGUUCAGCCGGAAGUAGCAAAAAUUCUAAGUGUAUAUAAGAGCUUUUUUAAUUAGGCACUGAUAAAAUAUGUAAAUCUGGGAUUUGAACCUUUCAAAGUUCAUAUAA